rnacentral:rRNA from 1 species
GGUUGCGAUCAUAUCGGCACUAAUGCACCGGAUCCCAUCAGAACUCCGCAGUUAAGCGUGCUUGGGCGAGAGUAGUACUAGGAUGGGUGACCCCCUGGGAAGUCCUCGUGUUGCAACCC